UACGAAGGGGGCUAGCGUUGUUCGGAAUUACUGGGCGUAAAGCGCGUGUAGGCGGGUCUUUAAGUCAGGGGUGAAAUCCUGGAGCUCAACUCCAGAACUGCCUUUGAUACUGAAGAUCUUGAGUUCGGGAGAGGUGAGUGGAACUGCGAGUGUAGAGGUGAAAUUCGUAGAUAUUCGCAAGAACACCAGUGGCGAAGGCGGCUCACUGGCCCGGUACUGACGCUGAGGCGCGAAAGCGUGGGGAGCAAACAGG
rnacentral:rRNA from 1 species